UGGGUAAUAUCUAGCAUACGUAUAAGUGGGCAAUCAGCAUGAUCGAAUUUAUUCUCUUGCCAAUUAUAUGUUGUACAGAAUACACACUCAAACUAAAUAUCAAUAUCAGUCAUCAUCCCGAUCACUGAAUUAUGAGUUAGAGGUUGGUUAAAAUUGUCACUCUGCUCACUGUAGAAAUUGUUAACAGGACUUUGAGUCUGAGAGACAAUGGAAAUUGGCUCGUUGGAGCCAGCAAGGGCAUGUUGGACCCGGCCACAAGGGAAGAAAAGAAAGUGAAGGUUCUGUACAAGCAUCAACUAAAACUUGACAAGAAAAAAGAAAAAAUCGCUUGACAAACAGCCUAAGUUUCUUCUGCUUUCAUGAUGUUGUUCCAACUAUUUCAUGUACUCAACAAUGCUAGCAGAAAACCUGGUGAACUCACCAAUUACUCGCAAGUCGAUAAAUCCAUGCAUUGCUGCUCAGGAACAACCGAGUACUCAACAUGGAGGAGAUGAAAAUGGUACAUGUAUUUCUGUUUGAUUAGAAG